GAAACACACGGCGGAGGUGAGACCGCCGCCCGGCCUGAUGCGGGAGCCGCACACCUAACAGUAAACACCGCAUUGCCUAGCAGCCACAUGUCUGGUCCCUGGUCUGCGCACGGGAGGGGGUGCGGGGCGGCGCACCCCGCCCGGCACGUGCUGAGUCAGCAGCACUGCGCUGAUGUAACCCUGAGAUCCGCUGCCUGGAGGAAACCAGUGCCCACCGGAUGCAGAUAGGAGACCCAGCUCCAGCCUGCUGGGAUCUCCGGGUACGGCAGAGAGGUCCCCUCACGCUCCCCGGAAGGCAAGGAAGCAGUCACAGAGAGCAAAGCAGCAGAGAGUGCAGCAGAGAGCAAAGCAAACAGCGGGUCCCCACAGCAUCGGGCUCCUGUGAGGACCCCAGGCGUCUGCUCUGGACCCCUGCCCAUGACGAGGAGAGGCUGAGCUCCGUGCGAGUGGGGACUCUGGGCCAGAGCUCCCCCGAUGCCGGGGUCACUGAAACCUGCACACUCAUCUGAGGGACACCUGGAGGCCUCCAUCCACACAACCCCCUCUCCCACACCACCCUGUGGGAACCUGCGAUCACCCCGAAGUGUUUCAGCAGGGCUGGGUGGGAGGGAUCCCUCCAGCCAGGACAGGAGUCAGGGGCCUACGGUGUCCUGCAGCCGCCCUGGCCACCCACACUGGCAUGGCUGGGAGUGCCGGACACUUGGGUCUCCAGGCCAGGGCAGGGAACCUGAGUGACCAGCGCAGCCCCUCUUUGGAGUACUGGGCAGAAGAGCUGGGUGAGGAGCCUGAGCUGCUCCCUGCAGGGGCACAGGGAGGCACCAUCCCAGGAGGACUGGGGGAUGCUGUGUGCCCUGGCUGCGGGCCAAGAGGUGACCCAGAUCACAGUGCUCCUCCGGCCUCAAGAGCACUGGGGGGUCUUCCUCUCCCUGCCUCCCCCGGCCGGCUGACCCCCCUGCUUGGCAUCAGAGCAGACUCAGCUGCGCCUGCGCCCAGGCUCCUCCUGCCCCCAGCAUCCUGGGACAACUCCCCAGGCCUCUCAGGAGCCCCAGCUGGAGAAACAGUGGUUUCUAAAAGCAGCGUCUGGAUGCGGGGCCUGGGUGCUAGGUCCCUAGGCAGCUCAGUAGUUCUGGGAAGAGCCGGGUUCCCAAGAAGCAACAAGCCGGCUGCCCUCGCGCAGAGGGUCCCCUAGAAAGUCUUCUCUAGGCACCGCCCCUGCGAGGCCCUUGUGGAGAGGACGUCCCCGGUGAGCCAGGGACGUGGGAGAGGGUCCGACCUGCUUCUACAGCGACGCAGCAGGUGCCCAGGUGCCCCUGUGACAGGGACGGUGGUGCCCCACCGCCGCUUCCUCUCCCCGUGGGAUGCACUGGUCAGGGUGUGGGCAUGAUGUCCUCGCUCGCUCGAGGGGGCUGGGGCCCACCGCGGCGCACCGAGCAGUUAGUGCAGUCACCUGCAACAAGCAAGUGAAGACACCGAGGCCCAACCACCCGCGAGGACCUCUCCCUGUCCUCCUUUCUCCCCCAACUGGGGCCCGCUUCCUCCUCCCUGCACGCGUUCCUUUACCCCCCACCCCAAAGAACGGCAUUUGCAAGAAAGAGAAAUUCGAAUCGCAGGAAAAGCAUGCGUUCAGCUUGGCAUGAUGGGGCUCGCCUGUCAUCUCAGCACUGGCCAGGCUGGAGCAGGAAGAUCGCUGAGGG